AGUUUGAAACCGUGGCGGGCGGAGCGGCCCAAGCGUUUCAAAGUAGCGGACACACGGAAAGAAGAAACAUGAUGGUAGAGUCUACGCUAGAGCUGAAGAGGAUGAACACCUUUGGCCUCACAUACAAAGAAUGUUUCGCUUAAAAGCAGCACAAAAGAACAGCUGUGUCUGCAGUGUCGGUGUCUUCAAUGAGAGCCAAAACAAACCAACUUUUCAGCGUGAAACAAAUCAGCUCGUGUUACCUGAUGAAACGGUCUCCACUUCAUCAGACAUCACCUAGACCCAGAGCUGGGUGAGGCCAGCACAAACAGCGGCCUAUUCGACGAAGACGAUGGAUCCAUGGGGUCAGGAAAGCCAGUAGCAGAGGAGCUGGAGAGAUACCUUUCAUGUCCAUUCACUGGAGGUGUGGAUGUAUUGCAUGGCUUUCCUCAGAUCAAGAAGCUGUCGAUUAAAGACUUUUUAGUCACGCAGGACUCCUGUUCACUGCUAAACGGUCACAGCUUCACAGUAAGAACCUUGAGAGCCUACAUCUCAAGCUGAAGCACCAUUUCACUGACUGAAGAAACAAUUUAUGGUAAAGUGAGCCAUACACAUAUGUACAUCCACAUAGUGGGAAUUUGUAUUUGUCUUUUAUAAUUAGUUUUACUCUGAUUUCAGUGUUUAUUUGUGAGUGUAGUUUUUACAUUUUUACAUAUUACAUUGUGUUAAUCCACUGUCUAUAUUUCAGGGUAUUUUAGUAUACAAAAUAAGUUUUGUUAGAAUGUCUAUUCUUGUGGAAUUUUAGCACAGAUGUGUUUUGUUUUGUUUUUUCAUUCCUGCUGUCCGCCUUGGGAAUAAACUUUUCCUGAUUAUA